CAGUGGGGAAUAUUGGACAAUGGGCGCAAGCCUGAUCCAGCAAUGCCGCGUGAGUGAUGAAGGCCUUAGGGUUGUAAAGCUCUUUUACCCGGGAUGAUAAUGACAGUACCGGGAGAAUAAGCUCCGGCUAACUCCGUGCCAGCAGCCGCGGUAAUACGGAGGGAGCUAGCGUUGUUCGGAAUUACUGGGCGUAAAGCGCACGUAGGCGGCUAUUCAAGUCGGGGGUGAAAGCCCGGGGCUCAACCCCGGAACUGCCCUCGAAACUAGGUAGCUAGAAUCUUGGAGAGGUCAGUGGAAUUCCGAGUGUAGAGGUGAAAUUCGUAGAUAUUCGGAAGAACACCAGUGGCGAAGGCGACUGACUGGACAAGUAUUGACGCUGAGGUGCGAAAGCGUGGGGAGCAAACAGGAUUAGA
rnacentral:rRNA from 1 species